UCGAUGGCCACUUGGUAUGGAAGAGACUUGCUAGAAAAUCAGUUUAAAUUUUUAAUUUUCAAAUCAUAUUUAUAUUUACCAUCCAUCGGAAUGAAUACACAGACCUUUUGGAACUACUGUAUGGGCAUUGAUGCUGUAAUGAAAUCACAGGCUGCUAUCACAUAAAAACCCAGUCUCAGCUACAGAUGGCCAUUAAAGAUGACAAUAGUGUUGUUAUACCUCAGGAAAGUUACAGAAAAUAGAUUAAACUAUAUAAUAAAAUUAAAUCGCAAGCUACUAUCAAACAAAAACCCAGUCUCAGCUACUGAUGGCCCUGAAAGAUUGCAACAGUUUUGUUAUCAUAACUUAGGCAAGUUACAGAAAAAAAAUAGUAGGCACUAGGAAGAUACAAAAGUUUAUUAGGUGUGUAACUCCUAUUUUUAAAAAUAUAUUAUUUUAUGCUAAUGACUUACACAUUUUAAAAUAACAUUAAACAUAUUUGUUAUAACAUGUUGGGUACUGAAGGACAGAAAUGAAUCAAAUAUUAAAUGGUACACUUAAAAUUAUCUAAUAAUACCACCCACCUAGCUCCAUAAACAAGGGGAAGAAAAUUAAGAGCAUCUUAUUUACUUUUCAACUUUUGUCAAAUUUUUGUUCUUAAAGGUUAUGACUUCUCUGGCAACCUUUUACCUUAAAAUACCUUUAUUUACUUGCGUAAAGUUGCAUUGGUAGCAUAGCCCGAAAGUCUGUGGUAAUGGUUAGUAAGCGACAGGUCGCAAUUUGGCACAGGAUCGAAGUAUGCUAUAAAUGCUUUUUUUUUUUUCCUAGAAAGAAGAUUAUACCAAUUCAUUACUACCAGUAUAACAGUUUGAUCUUUAACAUACAUUCCCUUGUGGUUUUUGAUUGUUUACUUUGGAAUAUUGUAAAAAUUAAUUUAUAGUCACUAGGCCUCAUGAGUCAUUGCAUUAUGUGAAGGUAUGUAGGAGCGUGGUAGGAGGUUUUCCAGUAGACAACGGAAGUACUGCAUGUCAUAGGAUCUAUGGAAUAUUAUUAUAAAUGUCAUUGGAUAUCAUGCUAAGACAUCGUAGGCUGAAGUAUUUGGAACAAGGUACUGUAGGCCUAUUUUACCCCAUGCCAAGGAAUCAUUAUGCUAGGCCUGUAAGCCUACAUGUACAAUUUCACACAGUAGGUUUUUUAUACCAUAGGUCUACCUUUCAUACCAAAAGGAGGCCUACUCAUCAUAUCAACAAUGUAAGUCUUGAUUUUGAUUAGCAACCAUACUAGUGCUCCUGGGAAGCUAAAGCCUGCCUCCAACUAUUACUCAGUAUGGAGAUGAAGUGGGGGAAGAGGGAAGGGGAGGGGUCGUUGGAGUUUAUUAACUCUAACAUGUCAUAGUCUGUCAAGAACCAACCUAGUCAUCUUGGCCACCACCAGCUUACAGUAGCAGAAGAUAUGCUAUUCUAUACAUUGCAUGUCAACAUCAUUUUCUGGAUUAAAAGUACCCUGGGCCUGAGUAAAUGUUAUUCAAAAUGUAUGGGUAACAGACCCUAGGGAGCAUUAAAAGCUAGUACAUGACAUUUUUGUGGGCAUUAUGAGUAUCUGUUGGAAACAACGGUCAAUCUUUACACACUAUUUUUGUAUGUUAUGUUAUAAUAAUAAAAGUUGAAAAACAAAGGAAAA
rnacentral:lncRNA from 1 species